rnacentral:rRNA from 1 species
GAUGAACGCUGGCGGCGUGCCUAAUACAUGCAAGUCGAGCGAACAGACGAGGAGCUUGCUCCUCUGACGUUAGCGGCGGACGGGUGAGUAACACGUGGAUAACCUACCUAUAAGACUGGGAUAACUUCGGGAAACCGGAGCUAAUACCGGAUAAUAUAUUAAACCGCAUGGUUCAAUAGUAAAAGACGGUUUUGCUGUCACUUAUAGAUGGAUCCGCGCCGCAUUAGCUAGUUGGUAAGGUGACGGCUUACCAAGGCGACGAUGCGUAGCCGACCUGAGAGGGUGAUCGGCCACACGGGAACUGAGACACGGUCCAGACUCCUACGGGAGGCAGCAGUAGGGAAUCUUACGCAAUGGGCGAAAGCCUGACGGAGCAACGCAGCGUGAGUGAUGAAGGUCUUCGGAUCGUAAAACUCUGUUAUUAGGGAAGAACAAAUGUGUAAGUAAAUAUGCACGUCUUGACGGUACCUAAUCAGAAAGCCACGGCUAACUACGUG